CAUUUGUACAAAUAAUUGAUUUCACAUUUUACGUUAAUCAGCUUUGACAGAUCAUGUACCCAAAGUAUUAUAAGUAGUGUUGUCCUUUGAUAUCGAUAACAUAAUAUUAUGUUUGAAUGUAACAUCUACAUGUUGCGUUAUUCUAUUCACGUUUAAUUUAUUUUUCGACCUGUUUCCGAUUUGGAUGAAGAUUACAUAAAGAUAUUGUAUUUUCCAGAUUUCCUAAAUAUCCUAAUUUACGAAACAAGAAAUUAAGAAACAAUUGGAUUCAGACCAUGAAACGAGAUAAUUCUCUCUUCUGAAGGACGCCUUCUCCUUAUUUAAGACUGUGCUAAUUACAUUUCGAUGUAUCUUGCUUUCUAUCGAGCAGGAUACCAAACAAAAAUAUUACAUAGAGAUGCAGUACCAACAAUAUUCACUCACAUAUCUCACAUAAGGUAAAGUUAUAACGACCAGAGCCGACACUAUACACUUCUAAAGAAAGUGAACAAGAGGAUUUUUUUUUUUUAUCACCAAAAGUCGGAAUUGUUCAGUGCUUCGUAGUCAUUGUAUUCUAACUAUAUUGAAUAAAAAUCUUAUAAAGAA